GCAGUCGCCGCGGUAAUACGUAGGUGGCAAGCGUUGUCCGGAAUUAUUGGGCGUAAAGGGCUCGCAGGCGGUUUCUUAGGUCUGAUGUGAAAGCCCCCGGCUCAACCGGGGAGGGUCAUUGGAAACUGGGAAACUUGAGUGCAGAAGAGGAGAGUGGAAUUCCACGUGUAGCGGUGAAAUGCGUAGAGAUGUGGAGGAACACCAGUGGCGAAGGCGACUCUCUGGUCUGUAACUGACGCUGAGGAGCGAAAGCGUGGGGAGCGAACAGGAUUAGAUACCCCUGUAGUCCCUGUCUCUCAUAC
rnacentral:rRNA from 1 species